CUCCGGGUGAUCCUGCCGGCGGGCACCGCUAUUGGAGUUCGCUUAAGCCAUGCGAGUCGAGAGGGGUAAGCCCUCGGCGCACUGCUCAGUAACACGCGGACAAUCUGCCCUCGAGACGUGGAUAACCUCGGGAAACUGAGAAUAAACCGCGAUAGAUCAUUAUGCCUGGAAUGGCUUAUGGUUCAAACAAUUUAUUGCCGUAGGAUGGGACUGCGGCCUAUCAGCUUGUUGGUGAGGUAAUGGCCCACCAAGGCUAUAACAGGUACGGGCUCUGAGAGGAGAAGCCCGGAGAUGGGUACUGAGACACGGACCCAGGCCCUAUGGGGCGCAGCAGGCGAGAAACCUUAGCAAUGUGCGAAAGCACGACUAGGUUAAUCCGAGUGAUUUCUGUUGAAGAAAUCUUUUGUCAGUCGUAAAACCACAGACGAAUAAGGGGUGGGCAAGUCUGGUGUCAGCCGCCGCGGUAAUACCAGCACCUCGAGUGGUCAGGAGGUUUAUUGGGCCUAAAGCAUCCGUAGCCGGCUACGCAAGUCUCCGGUUAAAUCCAGCUGCUCAACAGAUGGGCUGCCGGAGAUACUACAUAGCUAGGGAGCGGGAGAGGUAGACGGUAUUCUGUGGGUAGGGGUAAAAUCCACUGAUCCAUAGAGGACCACCAGUGGCGAAGGCGGUCUACCAGAACGCGUUCGACGGUGAGGGAUGAAAGCUGGGGGAGCAAACCGGAUUAGAUACCCGGGUAGUCCCAGCUGUAAACGAUGCAAACUCGGUGAUGCAUUGGCUUAUGGCCAAUGCAGUGCCGCAGGGAAGCCGUUAAGUUUGCCGCCUGGGAAGUACGGACGCAAGUCUGAAACUUAAAGGAAUUGGCGGGGGAGCA
rnacentral:rRNA from 1 species